rnacentral:rRNA from 1 species
GUGCCAGCCGCCGCGGUAAGACGAACCUUGCUAACGUUAUUCGGAAUUACUGGGCUUAAAGGGUGCGUAGGCGGUGCAGAAAGUCGGGUGUGAAAUCCCCCAGCUCAACUGAGGAAUUGCGCCUGAAACUACUGUGCUCGAGGAAGACAGAGGUACGCGGAACUUAGGGUGGAGCGGUGAAAUGCGUUGAUAUCCUAAGGAACACCGGUGGCGAAAGCGGCGUACUGGGUCUUAUCUGACGCUGAGGCACGAAAGCUAGGGUAGCGAACGGGAUUAGAUACCCCGGUAGUCCUAGCCGUAAACGCUGAGCACUUGAUUGAAGGCUCCUCCAUAAGCUUUUAGUCGUAGCGAAAGUGUUAAGUGCUCCGCCUGGGGAGUAUGGUCGCAAGGCUGAA